ACUCCCCAGAGCUCUGAGAAGUGUUUGCUGUAUCUUCAGCUGCCCAUUCCGUGAGCUUUGUAACAACAGAGCAAACACACCAGAGGCAUGCCUUCUAUAUUAGCUCUGCUAAAGCACAAAGCUAGCCACUUGUGUGCAUCCCCACCACCGUUUGCAUCUGGGAAUUCCUCCACAGGUUUGUUUUCAAUGCUUAAAGUUUGUUUUACAAAGCCACAGAGAAACCCUGUCUCGAAAAACCAAAAAACAAAAAAAUAAAAAAUAAAGUUUGUUUUAAAGGUUGUAGACUCUUGGAGGUAGGGUCUGCCUGAGCCAAUCAGGUCACUGAAUGCUGGGGAGUUUUGAAGGUUAUACAUUACUCCUACUUCCAGCCUAGCUCACUCUACUUCCUGAUCUGUCACUGUGUGAGCAACUGUGGCCUCAUGUUCCCACUGCCAUGCCUUCUCUACCUGCUGGACCAAGUGAGACAGAAUAUUUGUCCCUUAAGCAGUGACAUGAAAGUCAGUGACAUAUCCAGUGAUGCCUGUCUCUGCAGGGGUUCAAGUUUUCCUUUGGGUGAUAUUGAUGGAGCUGGGCAGAGAACCAGGGGUCCAGGGGUCUUCUGUGUUGCAAGGGUCUGCAGGCAGUACCUGGGAAAUAGUCAGAGGUGGUCCCCACCGCUCCUAUUUCCUCCCAGUCUGUUUUGUUUUCUUCAUUUUUGUCAGGCCCAGCUCUCAGGAAGGGCCUCUGUGGUGGUCCCAGACAAGCUGCCCCAGAUCAUUGCAGUCUUGCCUGAAUUCUGAGACCUCAUUUUCUGGCUGCCUCCUUGGACUUUCAAAUAAAACCCUGUUUCAAAUAAGUUAAUCAUUCUUAGAUGUUGAUUCCUUGUUUAGAAGGCAAAUUCCUUACACCUGAGGAGAUUCUUCAGCCUUCCCACGGGAGCUGUUGGUGACUGGCAUUUGGGUCACAAGGAUAGGUUGUUGGUGCCAAGGCUUGAUGAGGUAGGUGAGCUGACAUGGGCAUAACCCGAGUUGUGGGGGUUUGGAUGAGAGACUCGGGAUCCACUUACCACACUUGUGCUAUGUGAAGAAAGCAGCUCUCAACUGGGUCAUGCUGCUCAAUGAUUGGCAAAAGCCGAGCUUACUGGGCUUGGUCCCAUCUGGCUCCCAGCAGGAGGGUGUGCACAUAACAGUUUGGCCAUGUUCCUCACCCUAAGAUUUCUUUCUACCCAGAGGAUGUUGCAGACAUGGUGACUGAGGUGGCUAUCCUAGGGAAGACUUGUGUGAUUUGCUAGGUUGCUUAGUGAUGUCACAAUGUCUCCCCGCAUGGGUGAUGUUGGCUCUUACUUCCUUUCUGCAGUGUUGGGUCCUACUUGACAUUUGGUACUGACAUUUGUUGAGCAUUGGCUACAGGCUCAUUUCACUGUUCCUGGUACUCUUCAGCAGUUCUGGGAAGUUAUUGUCUUCCUUUUAUGGCUGUCUCCAACAGGCUGUAGCAGGAUCCACCAGGGCUGGGCUGCAGGUGAGAAGUGAGUGGCCUCGAAGCUCUCCUGUUGAAGAUCAACACCUGACCAGGCCACAAGAGCCUCUUGUACCAGCAGGAUUGGCCUCACUGGUCCGGAGACGACCUGGACCAGAGUCCCCAAGGCUGGAUCAGGCUGGAUCAUCAGCUAAACACUGAACUGAACUCCUGGAACCCAG